rnacentral:rRNA from 1 species
GAUGAACGCUGGCGGCGUGCCUAAUACAUGCAAGUCGAGCGAACGGACGAGAAGCUUGCUUUUCUGAUGUUAGCGGCGGACGGGUGAGUAACACGUGGAUAACCUACCUAUAAGACUGGGAUGACUUCGGGAAACCGGAGCUAAUACCGGAUAAUAUUUUGAACCGCAUGGUUCAAAAGUUAAAGACGGUCUUGCUGUCACUUAUAGAUGGAUCCGCGCUGCAUUAGCUAGUUGGUAAGGUAACGGCUUACCAAGGCAACGAUGCAUAGCCGACCUGAGAGGGUGAUCGGCCACACUGGAACUGAGACACGGUCCAGACUCCUACGGGAGGCAGCAGUAGGGAAUCUUCCGCAAUGGGCGAAAGCCUGACGGAGCAACGCCGCGUGAGUGAUGAAGGUCUUCGGAUCGUAAAACUCUGUUAUUAGGGAAGAACAUAUGUGUAAGUAACUGUGCACAUCUUGACGGUACCUAAUCAGAAAGCCACGGCUAACUACGUG